UAGAUUAGGUCAUGUUUCAUGAAAGUCAGGAAAUAGAGUUUUUAUUUAACAUUUUACCAAAAAGUAAUAUUGAAGCAAAUUUGAAUUCAUCAUCUAUAAAUAUUGAAACUGAUGUCACUUCAUUGUCUACAAAUGAAUUUUCAAAUUUGUUGAACGACUUUACUGAUAUUUUAGCAACAGACUUACUUAAAAAAUCUUAUAUAAUAGGUGAUCAAUUGAGUUUAUUCAAAAACCAUAAUGCUGGCACUGAAGCUUCAAAUCGUAAAAUAAAAAAACGUAAAAAUUACAAAUGGUGCAGAAAAAGAAAAAUUAAAAACAGUGUUAAUGAUGAAAAAAAUAUAAAAGGUUUUACAGGUGAAAUUAAUUUUGAUGGUGAAACAAGUAACUUUAUUCAACAACCAUAUCCAGCUUUAAAAGAAUGUUUUGUAUCGCUUGUUGAUAUUAUGACUUCUCAUAAAGUUCUUCAAUAUUAUAAUAUUAAACCUUCACAUAAUAACUCUGAAUCUUAUAUCAAGAAUACAGAAAAGAAAGAUAUAACUAAAUUUGAAGUUAACAAAAGUGUUUGUUAUGAGUUGGAGAAAGUGAUUUCUUGUGAUGAUGCUUCUCAAAUAAAUAAUAAAGAUUUUUUUACAAAAGAAGUUAGUACUAGUAGUUGCACCAGUGAGCUAAAUUACUUACACUGUUCAAACAAUAAAAAUAAAUCAACAUUUAAUAAAAAGAUAGAAAAUAAUUUAUUUUGUAUGCAGUUACUUCGUUCAUCGUGCAUUGGUGUUUUAUCAAAUCUUCAAAAUUCAGAAAAUUUUCUUUUUUCACCUGAAACAGGUUAUAGUCAGCUGUGUUCUAACAGCUUACUUAAUACCGUUACUAAAAACUCAAAACAUUUCAUAACUGACAUAAUAUCUAUAGAUACAGUAGUUAACAACAAUCAAAUAUUUACAAAUGAAAAUGAAAAAAAUAGUUGCUCAGAAAAAAUAACUUUUAAACAAGAAAAUAGAGACAUUAAAAAAGAUAAUUUAGAAUGUUUUUUAACUAAAGAAAAAUAUAAACCAAUGAUUGUUAUGACCUCUGCCAAAAAGAAAAAUAUGUUCAAUGGUAGUUUGUAUACUGAAACCAGCCUACCUAGAUCUUCUCAUGCACUCAAACCAGAUAAUGGCAGAUAUAGUGAUAGUACCCCAGUUAUAGUACCAAGAAAUGGUGGCAAAUGGAUACCAGCUUUUACUUAAAUUUUACUUAGAAAAUUUAAAAUAAUGCAUUAUAGAUUAUGAUUUGAAUCCAAGAGAUAAAGUGUCAAUGUGUCAAUGACUUAUGACAAUGUCAUUCUCAAUUGCUUUGCCUUCGUUGCACUCCAGAGGGCAAGCAUAGAAGUUCUACAGUUAAGUAUCCUUGGUAAGGUUUAAAUUCUGUGGGAAAAAAGAUUUCUUUUUUUUUUCUCGCAUAAAAACGCUAGAAAAUAUUUAAGUCGGAUACUACACUACAUGAGAAGUUAUUAAUAAGCUUUAUUAAGUUCAGAUACUGCACGAUGCUACAUGAGAAGUUAUUAAUAAGCCAUUAUAAGUGUCGGAUACUACACGAUACUACAUAAGAGACUAUUAAUAAAUUUUGUUAAGUGUCGGAUACUACAUGAUACUACGCGAUAAAGUAAUUAUUAGGCUUUGUUAAGUGUCGGAUACUACACGAUACUACACGAUAAAGUGGUUAAUAAGCUUUAUCGCGUGUCUAAUGUGUCGAUUACUUAACAAUUUAAUACGAGAAAGUGAUUAUAAGGCUUUGUUAAAUGUCCGUACUGGACGAUUUUACCUAAAAAAGUAAUAUUCUUUAUUAAGUGCCAGAUACUACACUUAAAGGUCAAUGAAUAAUUCGUUUGAGUUUACAUACUACACGAGAAAGUGAUUUUAAGUUUUUUAGAAUCGAAUCUGAUAAGAACAGUACUAAAUUUUGAUCUUUUUUGCUAUUAUUCUAAAGUUAGCGAUAUGUUGAGAGAAAGAUUUUUAUUUCUGCUCGAUACUACAUACGAUAAUUUGAUCAAGAUGAAACGCUUUCGUUAUUCGGAAGUUCUUUAUAUCUUAAUAAAAGAAACUAUAAUA
rnacentral:misc_RNA from 1 species